rnacentral:rRNA from 1 species
GGCCUUUUGAAUUUAAUAUAAGGUCUGACCUGCCCAGUGAUAAUUUUAACGGCCGCGGUAUAUUGACCGUGCAAAGGUAGCAUAAUCAUUAGUCUUUUAAUAGAGGGCUGGAAUGAAAGGUUUGACGAGGAACUGGCUGUCUCAUUUUAUUUGUUUUAAAAUUUAAUUUUUUAGUUAAAAAGCUAAAAUUUUAUUGGUAGACGAGAAGACCCUAUAGAGCUUUACAUGUAAUUAUUUUGAUAUUUUUAUAUUAAUAUUUCUAAUUAAUUAUGUGUUUUGUUGGGGUGACAAAAAUAUAUAAUUAACUAUUUUAUUUAGUUAACAUUGAUUUAUGAAUAUUGGAUCCAUUAUUAUUGAUUGUUAGACUAAGUUACCUUAGGGAUAACAGCGUAAUCCUCCUCCAGAGUUCAUAUUUACAGGAUGGGCUUGCGACCUCGAUGUUGGAUUAAGAUAAUAAUUAGGUGUAGCCGCUUAAUUAAUAGGUCUGUUCGACCUUUAAAUUCUU